rnacentral:rRNA from 1 species
GACAGAGGGUGCAAACGUUGUUCGGAACUACUGGGCGUAAAGCGCGUGUAGGCUGCUUAGCAAGUCGGAUGUGAAAGCCCUGGGCUCAACCUAGGAAGUGCAUUCGAAACUGCAAAGCUUGAGUCCUGGAGAGGAUAGCGGAAUUCUCGGUGUAGAGGUGAAAUUCGUAGAUAUCGAGAGGAACACCGGUGGCGAAGGCGGCUAUCUGGACAGCGACUGACGCUGAGACGCGAAAGCGUGGGGAGCAAACAGG